GAAGGUAUAGCUCAAGUGGUAGAGUGCAUGCUUAACAUACACAAGGGCCUGGAUUUAAUCCCCAGUACCUCCU
rnacentral:tRNA from 1 species